rnacentral:misc_RNA from 1 species
GGCAGCUUCCGCUAAAUCAUGACUUCACAUCUUCCGUUGAAUCUAGGCACCAAGAUGUGAGUGACCACCAUUUACUAGCAAAAAUUAAAAAGCUAGUGCACGAAAGCCCAAUUCGACAUGAGGCUAAGAAUGAUGAGUAAAAUGCCAGGCCUCGCCACUGUUCCUUGUAUCACCACUUCUCAGUCUUCUUUCUUUGAUAAUGAGGUGAAGAUGGUUGAUCAGGGGAAGACCGUUGCCCAGAGACUGCAUGAAAUCUCUGUUCUUCAAUUGCUCCCUUUGGUCGACUUCCAUCACCUGGCUGGGCUUGUUCAUUUGUACCUGAGAAGCCUACGGGACCCAUAGACCCAAACUCAAGCUGUUCUCCAUGUGAAUUAUUAUAAGUAGAAUUAUGGUCGUAUGGAUAAAACAUUACAACUGGAGGGCCACCAGGUCCAUUUGAAGACGCUGCACUAGGGUUCAUUGAUGAUAGAGGAUACAUGCCAUACACCAUAUUGGGAGGGACACUUGGGCUUGAGUUUGCAUGCAAUGGACCAUUUUGGGACUGAUAUGAAGGGAAGGAGUCGUGUCUAUGAGAGGAGCUCCAUGACCUGUCAGUUCGGCUCUCACUGGACACUGGACGAUCCAAUCUUGAGUUUACUUUCUCAGAUUGGCUGCGGUUGUAGUUGCGACCACCAGCACGGGAUUUUGAAUUUGCAUUCCAGUUCCCCUCACCAUAAUUAUCGUUUCUGUCAUGGUUGUAACUCCCCCUUCUUGUACCAGGAGCG